UGGGUAAGUCAGACGGUCGCAUGCUUUGCAUGAGGAAAGUCCGGGCUCCAAAGGGCAAGGGUGCCGGAUAACGUCCGGCGCAGGUAACUGUAGGGAAAGUGCAACAGAAACACACCGCCGAAACGGGUAAUGCCGUGGCAAGGGUGAAAUGGUGAGGUAAGAGCUCACCGGCGUUCUGGAGACAGGACGGCCGUGUAAACCCCACCCGGAGCAAGACCAAGCAGGGAUCAUGGCUGGCGGCCCGUCAGCCCCCGGGAGGUAGGUCGCAUGAGCAUGGCAGCAAUGCUAUGCCUAGAUAGAUGAUCGUCAAAUACAGAACCCGGCUUAUAGACUUGCCCAAAAC
rnacentral:RNase_P_RNA from 1 species